rnacentral:rRNA from 1 species
AUUGAACGCUGGCGGCAUGCCUUACACAUGCAAGUCGAACGGCAGCACGGGAGUAAUCCUGGUGGCGAGUGGCGAACGGGUGAGUAAUACAUCGGAACGUGCCCAGUAGUGGGGGAUAGCCCGGCGAAAGCCGGAUUAAUACCGCAUACGACCUACGGGUGAAAGCGGGGGAUCGCAAGACCUCGCGCUAUCGGAGCGGCCGAUGUCAGAUUAGGUUGUUGGUGGGGAAAGGCCUACCAAGCCGACGAUCUGUAGCUGGUCUGAGAGGACGACCAGCCACACUGGGACUGAGACACGGCCCAGACUCCUACGGGAGGCAGCAGUGGGGAAUUUUGGACAAUGGGGGCAACCCUGAUCCAGCCAUGCCGCGUGCGGGAAGAAGGCCUCGGUGUAACG